rnacentral:rRNA from 1 species
GUCCACGCCGUAAACGAUGGAUACUAGCUGUUGGGGGCAACUUCAGUGGCUAAGCGAAAGUGAUAAGUAUCCCACCUGGGGGAGUACGAACGCAAGUUUGAAACUCAAAGGAAUUGACGGGGGCCCGCACAAGCGGUGGAGCAUGUGGUUUAAUUCGAUGAUACGCGAGGAACCUUACCAAGGCUUAAAUGUAGAUUGACAGGACAGGAAACUGUUUUUCUUCGGACAAUUUACAAGGUGCUGCAUGGUUGUCGU